UACGAAGGGUGCAAACGUUAUUCGGAAUCACUGGGCGUAAAGGGUGCGUAGACGGUAUGUUAAGUUUGUUGUUAAAGGCUCCGGCCUAACUGGAGUAUUGCGAUGAAAACUGGCAUGCUAGAGGGUGAGAGAGAGAAGUGGAAUUCCCGGAGUAGCGGUAAAAUGCGUGGAUCUCGGGAGGAACACCAAUGGCGAAGGCAGCUUCUUGGCUCAUACCUGACGUUGAGGCACGAAAGCGUGGGGAGCAAACAGG
rnacentral:rRNA from 1 species